CGGGUGAGGAACGCGUAGGUAAUCUACCCUUUGGCGGGGGACAACAUUCCGAAAGGAAUGCUAAUACCGCGUAAGACCACACUCACUACGGUGAGAGCGGUUAAAGGUGCCUCAAAGCACCACCAAAGGAUGAGCCCGCGUCCCAUCAGCUUGUUGGUAAGGUAAUGGCUUACCAAGGCGAAGACGGGUAGCUGGUCUGAGAGGAUGAUCAGCCACACUGGCACUGGAACACGGGCCAG
rnacentral:rRNA from 1 species